GCAUAUCAAUAAGCGGAGGAAAAGAAACCAACAGGGAUUGCCCUAGUAACGGCGAGCGAAGCGGCAACAGCUCAAAUUUGAAAUCUGGCUAUUUUGUAGUCCGAGUUGUAAUUUGUAGAGGAUGCUUUUGGUGAGGUGCCUUCCGAGUUCCCUGGAACGGGACGCCAGAGAGGGUGAGAGCCCCGUACGGUUGGAUACCAAACCUUUGUAUAGCUCCUUCGACGAGUCGAGUAGUUUGGGAAUGCUGCUCUAAAUGGGAGGUAUAUCUCUUCUAAAGCUAAAUAUAGGCUAGAGACCGAUAGCGCACAAGUAGAGUGAUCGAAAGAUGAAAAGCACUUUGAAAAGAGAGUUAAACAGCACGUGAAAUUGUUGAAAGGGAAGCGCCUAUGACCAGACUUGUUUCUUUCAGUUUUGUUAGUUUUCGGACUGAUUUACUCUGUUAGUACAGGCCAGCAUCAGUUUGUUGUCAGGGAGAAAGGCUUAGGGAAUGUGGCUCUUUCGGGAGUGUUAUAGCCCUUUGCAUAAUACCUUUCGGCAGACUGAGGACCGCGCUUCGGCAAGGAUGCUGGCGUAAUGGUCAUCAGCGACCCGUCUUGAAACACGGACCAAGGAGUCAACCUUAUGUGCGAGUGUUUGGGUGUAAAACCCCAGCGCGUAAUGAACGUGAACGUAGGUGAGAGCUUCGGCGCAUCAUCGACCGAUUCUGAUGUUCUCGGAUGGAUUUGAGUAAGAGCACACAGGGUUGGACCCGAAAGAAGGUGAACUAUGCUUGUAUAGGGUGAAGCCAGAGGAAACUCUGGUGGAGGCUCGCAGCGGUUCUGACGUGCAAAUCGAUCGUCAAAUAUGAGCAUGGGGGCGAAAGACUAAUCGAACCUUCUAGUAGCUGGUUCAGC
rnacentral:rRNA from 1 species